AGACGCCUCACAAGUCCUCAACUGGCAGCUUCAUUAAAUAGUACCCACAAAACACCAGUCUCAUCGUCAACAGUGAAGCGAAGUUCCUCUCUCCAGUGUCUGUGUUCUUUUGCCCAUCUUAAUCUUUUAGGCCAGUCUGAGAUAUGGCUUUUUCUUUGCAACUCUGCCUAGAAGGCCAGCAACCCGGAGUUGCCUCUUCACUCUGCCAGUUGAGGACUUGUGAGGCGUCGGUUUCUCAAACUAGACACUCUAAUGUACUUGUCCUCUUGCUUAGUUGUGCACUGGGGCCUCCCACUCUGUCUAUUCUGUUAGAGACAGUGUGCGCUGUUCUGUGAAGGGAGUAAUACACAGCGUUUCUUUCUUGGAAAUUUCUCAGAACAAGAAUAGACUGACGAGUUUCAGAAGAAAGUACUUUGUUUCUGGACAUUCUGAACCUGUAAUCGAACCCACAAAUCUUGAUGCUCCAGAUACUCAACUAGUCUGAAGAAGGCCAGUUUUAUUGCUUCUUUAAUCAGAACAACAGUUUUCAGCUGUGCUAACAUAAUUGCAAAAGGGUUUCCUAAUGAUCAAUUAGCCUUUUAAAUGAUAUAAUUGGAUUAACUAACACAACAUGCCAUUGGAACACAGGAGUGAUGGUUGCAGAGAAGCAGUGCCUUAGACCGCUGCGCCUCUUGGUAGCUAUCUUAUGUGCCUUUUACUGAGGACUGGCUUCCAUCUGGCAACUCUACCAUAAAGGCCUGAUUGGUGGAAUGCUGCCGAGAUCGUUGUCCUUCUGAAAAGUGCUCCCAUCUCCAUAGAGGAAUUCUAGAACUCUGUCAGAGUGACCAUUGGGUUCUUGGUCACCUCCCUGGUCAAGGCCCUUUUCCCCCGAUUGCUCAGUUUGGCCGGGCGGCCAGCUCUAGGAAGAAUCUUGGUGGUUCCAGACUACUUCCAUUUAAGAAUGAUGGAGGCCACUGUGUUCUUGGGGACCUUCAAUGCUGCAGACGUUUUUUGGUAUCCUUCCCCAGAUCUGUGCCUCGACACAAUCCUGUCUCGGAGCGUUAUAGACAAUUCCUUCGACCUUAUGGCUUGGGUUUUGCUCUGACAUGCACUGUCAACUGUGGGACCUCACAGAGACAGGUGUGUGCCUUUCCAAAUCAUGUCCAGUCAAUUGAAUUUGACUCAAAUCAAGUUGUAGAAACAUCUCAAGGAUGAUCAAUGGAAACCAGAUGCACCUGAGCUCAAUUUUGAGUCUCAUAGCAAAGGGUCUGAAUACUAAUGUAAAUUGGAUUAUACCAAAGAUGAAUAAGAAUUGCCUUAAGAGUAGUGCUGUAGAACUUCUCAUCGAUUGUUUACUACUCCCAUUAAAAAACAUAUAGUUAUCAGGAAUUGCUAUUGGUCCAGAUGUUGUUAGAUACUUUCACCCAUUCUAUUUUCUUACUUUAUAGAGUCGUUCCACAUUAAUUAAAUGAAAAAGGGGCUAUGUUUGAGCGUGACCCUUUUGAUUAGAACAAAACUUGCAUGCAUAUUUACUAGGGGUGAAACGGUUCACAAAACUCAUGGUUCGGUACGUUGACAAAAUUAAUGCCUGAGAAAUAUGUAAUCUGUAUUUAGAUUUUCCAUUUAUUAUAAUAGUAAACAUGGGUAGCUUGAAUUCCCAGGAGCAUAUGGAAACAAAGGGACAAUAAAAAACAGCAGUGCCUGCCUUUAUAACGUGAAAUAAAAUAGUAAUUUAAAACAGAACUUCAACAUAGUCCAGCAGCUUAUAUCAAAAUUAAGUCACAUUGCAGUGCCUUAAACAAAAUAGGACCACUUGAGACUGGUUACAGGAAAAAAAUAAAAAUUUUUUUAUCAGAUUUUCAAGUUUUUCUUUAAGAAGAUUAGUUUAUCCACGUUUAGGCCCCUUGCUUUUUUCAAUUUUUACUAACGACAUGCUACUGACUGAGUAAAGCCAGAGUGUCUAUGUUUGUGGAUGACUCAACACUAUAAACGUCAGCUACUACAGCAACUGAAAUGACUGCAACACUCAACAAAGAGCUGCAGUUAGUUUCAGAGUUGGUUGCAAGGAAUAAAUUGGCCCUAAAUAUUUCUAAAACUAAAAGCAUUGUAUUUGGAACAAAACACUCUCUAAACCCUAAAUCUUGUAAUAAAUAAUGUGGAAAUUGAGCAAGUUGAGAUGACUAAACUGCUUGGAGUAACACUAGAUUAUAAACUGUCAUGGUCAAAACAUAUUGAUGCCGUAGUAGCUAAGAUGGGGAGAAGUCUGUAUAUAAUAAAGCGAUGCUCUACCUUCUUAACAACACUAUCAUCAAGGCAGGUCCUACAGGCCCUAGUUUUGUUGCACCUUGACUACUGUUCAGUUGUGUGGUGAGGUGCCACAAAAAAGGACCGAGGAAAAUUGCAAUUAGCUCAGAACAGGGCAGCACGGCUGGCCCUUAGAUGUACACAGAGAGCUAACAUUAAUAAUUUGCAUGUCAAUCUCUCCGGGCUGAAAGUGGAGGAGAGAUUGACUUCAUCACUACUUUUAUUUAUGAGAGGUAUUUGACAUGUUGAAUGCACCGAGCUGUCUGUCUAAACUACUGGCACACAGCUCAGACACCCAUGCAUACUCCACAAGACAAGUCACAAGAGGUCUCUUCACAGUCCCCAAGUCCAGAACAGACUAUGGGAGGCACACAGUACUACAUGGAACCAUGACUACAUGGAACUCUAUUCCACAUCAAGUAACUGAUGCCAGCAGUAAAAUUAGAUUUAAAAAACAGAUAAUAAAACACCUUAUGGAACAGCGGGGACUGUGAAGCAACACAAACAUUGGCACAGACAGACGCGAUAACAUAUAUACAUAUAUAACUUAUGUACAUAUACAUGGAUUUAGUACUGUAGAUAUGUGGUGGAGUAAGGGCUUGAGGGCUCACAGUGUGUUGUGAAAUCUGUGAAUGUAUUGUAAUGUUUUUAAAAUUGUAUAAACUGCCUUAAUUUCGCUGGACCCCAGGAAGAGUGGCAGCUGCUUUGGCAGCUGAUGGGGAUCCAUUACGAAUAAAAAUCUGCAAUGAGCACAGAUUGGCUUGCUGUGACAAUGUCAGCCGCUGUGGAGAAUACUUUUGCUAGGGACAGAGGUCCCAGGCACAGCCAGGUAGCGCCUUGCUAACAUGGCAACAUGAGGGUAUAUUAACUCUUUGGUCUUCCACCAUGUAAGUGGAUCAGCAUCCAGGGGAAUACAGUCCAGUUCCCUGUAUGAGGACACCUCUAUGACCUUGACGUUUGACUUGGUUCCCUGCUCCUGGGUCGUGAACAACUUCCCCCGAAAGCUCAGCCAUGGCAGACUUAUUUUCUGGAAGAGAACCCCUGUCGUCUGCCGUCUCUGGAGAGGGGUUGGCUCCUGUGGUAUAUGGCUUGACCCUGCAAAAUUCUAUUUGAUGAAAAUUACUUUCUUUAGUGGCUUUAAAAAUAUGAUUUGUUGUUAGAAAUAUCUAUCAGACACUAUUAUGACAAUUACAAUUGUUACUUUAUAAUGAAUUGUUAAAUCACUAAUGAAUAAAAUAAAUGUCACAUUAACUAAAUAAAUACAACACCUGUUGUAUAUUGGUAACAAUCUCUGCUGUGAGUUCAUUGUAGACUCUCAGACGAGCAGCAGCAUCCAGGUGCAGCAGGGUCUUGAACCGGGUCGUCCAAAGCGGUGCUCUUGUGUAAGAAGUAUUGGACACCAGGGUCAGCAUAUCUAGGCUCCAGGUUAACUCUGAUAGCAGUCUUGACAUCCCUUACUGCGGGUUCAUCUUCA
rnacentral:lncRNA from 1 species